AGUCGACGGACUCAUAUUGAACCUAGUGAUGUAUGAGUUAGUGGCGGACGGGUGAGUAACGCGUGGAGAACCUGCCGUAUACUGGGGGAUAACACUUAGAAAUAGGUGCUAAUACCGCAUAAGCGCACAGCUUCGCAUGAAGCAGUGUGAAAAACUCCGGUGGUAUACGAUGGAUCCGCGUCUGAUUAGCUUGUUGGCGGGGUAAAGGCCCACCAAGGCGACGAUCAGUAGCCGGCCUGAGAGGGUGAACGGCCACAUUGGGACUGAGACACGGCCCAAACUCCUACGGGAGGCAGCAGUGGGGAAUAUUGCACAAUGGGGGAAACCCUGAUGCAGCGACGCCGCGUGAGUGAAGAAGUAUUUCGGUACGUAAAGCUCUAUCAGCAGGGAAGAAAAUGACGGUACCUGACUAAGAAGCCCCGGCUAACUACGUGCCAGCAGCCGCGGUAAUACGUAGGGGGCAAGCGUUAUCCGGAUUUACUGGGUGUAAAGGGAGCGUAGACGGCAGCGCAAGUCUGGAGUGAAAUCCCAUGGCUUAACCAUGGAACUGCUUUGGAAACUGUGCAGCUGGAGUGCAGGAGAGGUAAGCGGAAUUCCUAGUGUAGCGGUGAAAUGCGUAGAUAUUAGGAGGAACACCAGUGGCGAAGGCGGCUUACUGGACUGUAACUGACGUUGAGGCUCGAAAGCGUGGGGAGCAAACAGGAUUAGAUACCCUGGUAGUCCACGCUGUAAACGAUGAUUACUAGGUGUU
rnacentral:rRNA from 1 species